GACGAACGCUCGCGGCGUGCCUAACACAUGCAAGUCGAACGAGAAUCUUUGAACAGAACUUUUCGGAGUGACGUUCAAAGAGGAAAGUGGCGGACGGGCGAGUAACGCGUGAGUAACCUGCCCAUAAGAGGGGGAUAAUCCAUGGAAACGUGGACUAAUACCGCAUAUUGUAGUUAAGUUGCAUGACUUGAUUAUGAAAGAUUUAUCGCUUAUGGAUGGACUCGCGUCAGAUUAGAUAGUUGGUGAGGUAACGGCUCACCAAGUCAACGAUCUGUAGCCGAACUGAGAGGUUGAUCGGCCGCAUUGGGACUGAGACACGGCCCAGACUCCUACGGGAGGCAGCAGUGGGGAAUAUUGCGCAAUGGGGGCAACCCUGACGCAGCAACGCCGCGUGCAGGAAGAAGGUCUUCGGAUUGUAAACUGUUGUCGCAAGGGAAGAAGACAGUGACGGUACCUUGUGAGAAAGUCACG
rnacentral:rRNA from 1 species